rnacentral:tRNA from 1 species
GGACAGAUGGCCGAGCGGCUUAAGGCGCACGCUUGGAAAGCGUGUGUACGUUAAUAGCGUACCCAGGGUUCGAAUCCCUGUCUGUCCG